CAAUGAUUCAUACAGUGAAGAAUCUGAUUCUGAUUUAUCAGAUGUGCCAGAGUUGGACUCAGAUAUCGAGCAAGAAGCUCAAAUCAACUAUGAGCGCCAGGUUUACAAAGAAGAUCUACCUCAGCUGAAACAACAAAGUAAAGAGAAAAACCAUUCUGUGCCCUUCCUUAAAAGAGAAAAAGCUCCAGAGGACAGUUUGAAGCUACAGUUCAUACAUGGUUAUAGAGGCUAUGACUGUAGAAAUAAUCUGUUCUAUACCCAAACUGGAGAGGUGGUCUACCAUAUUGCAGCAGUUGCAGUUGUGUACAAUAGGCAACAACACUCCCAAAGAUUGUAUCUGGGACAUGAUGAUGACAUCCUCAGCCUGGCUAUUCAUCCAGUGAAAGA